rnacentral:rRNA from 1 species
GGGGUGAGCGGCGGACGGGUGAGUAACGCGUGGGAACGUGCCCUUCUCUACGGAAUAGCCCCGGGAAACUGGGAGUAAUGCCGUAUACGCCUUUCGAGGGAAAGAUUUAUCGGAGAAGGAUCGGCCCGCGUCUGAUUAGGUAGUUGGUGGGGUAACGGCCUACCAAGCCGACGAUCAGUAGCUGGUUUGAGAGGAUGAUCAGCCACACUGGGACUGAGACACGGCCCAGACUCCUACGGGAGGCAGCAGUGGGGAAUCUUAGACAAUGGGGGCAACCCUGAUCUAGCCAUGCCGCGUGAGUGACGAAGGCCUUAGGGUCGUAAAGCUCUUUCGCCGGGGAAGAUAAUGACGGUACCCGGUAAAGAAGUCCCGGCUAACUCCGUGCCAGCAGCCGCGGUAAUACGGAGGGGACUAGCGUUGUUCGGAAUUACUGGGCGUAAAGCGCACGUAGGCGGAUUAUUAAGUCAGGGGUGAAAUCCCGGGGCUCAACCCCGGAACUGCCCUUGAUACUGGUAGUCUGGAGUUCUGGAGAGGUGAGUGGAAUUCCGAGUGUAGAGGUGAAAUUCGUAGAUAUUCGGAGGAACACCAGUGGCGAAGGCGGCUCACUGGCCAGAUACUGACGCUGAGGUGCGAAAGUGUGGGGAGCAAACAGGAUUAGAUACCCUGGUAGUCCACACCGUAAACGAUGAAUGCCAGACGUCGGGCAGCAUGCUGUUCGGUGUCACACCUA